rnacentral:rRNA from 1 species
GACGAACGCUGGCGGCGUGCUUAACACAUGCAAGUCGUACGGUAAGGCCCUUUCGGGGGUACACGAGUGGCGAACGGGUGAGUAACACGUGAGUAACCUGCCCACAACUUUGGGAUAACGCUAGGAAACUGGUGCUAAUACUGGAUAUGUGCUCCUGCUGCAUGGUGGGGGUUGGAAAGCUCCGGCGGUUGUGGAUGGACUCGCGGCCUAUCAGCUUGUUGGUGGGGUAGUGGCCUACCAAGGCGGCGACGGGUAGCCGGCCUGAGAGGGUGACCGGCCACAUUGGGACUGAGAUACGGCCCAGACUCCUACGGGAGGCAGCAGUGGGGAAUAUUGCACAAUGGGCGCAAGCCUGAUGCAGCAACGCCGCGUGCGGGAUGACGGCCUUCGGGUUGUAAACCGCUUUCAGCAGGGACCAAGCUUUUUGUGACGGUACCUGCAGAAGAAGCACCGGCUAACUACGUG